AAGAGCUCUUAUGAACGCGGCUGAGAAUUUAGUGCUCACUAUGGAAUUCAGAGCCUGAUUAAAAUUUGGUAUGACAUGCUGUGUACAAUGUGUUUUAAUACAGAUAUUAUCACCAAUAGUGCUUCUAGUACACUUAAGCAUGUUUAUUUUAUUAAAAAAUGUGCCACACUCUCACAUGUUUUACACUGAUGGCAGUGGUACAAACCACACAAACUUGGCGCUCUGGUUUGAAGAGAGUUUUAAGUGAAAAAAUUUAGGCUAGGUCAGGUAGCUCUUGAAAUAGGUAAAUUAAAAAUGGCCAUAAGGGGGCAGCAAAACACACUAAAUGCCCUUCGUGUGCAGAAGCUGGAAGACUGGCCACCAAGGGGUGAUUAGAAGAAUGAAAAGACAAGACGAAGGGCCUGGGAUUUCACCCAUCUUCCAACACUGGCAUUGCCAGUACAGAUUCAGGGAGGAGAAGCAGGACUAUACUUCUUGGGGGUCUGUGAUGAAAAUCCUGGGAGAAGGUGUGAAAAGUCUGACAUUUGCCUGCUGUUUUUGAAGCAUUUCCUACAAAGAAGAAUUUAGGGAAUCUCAAUUUUUAUACUUCUCAGCUUUGACUACUCUGUAUGUUGUAAGCUUCCCCACUGUAAUUUCAGUGCUGGUAAGUAUGAAACAUGGAUGGGGAGAAUUUUGUAUUAAUCAAUACUAAUUAAUCUACUAAUCAGUAGAGGAGAAUUUAUUUUAAAACAUUCAUUCCUCUCAAGUCAUUUUUUUGAUACUUGAGUAGAUUGAUUU
rnacentral:lncRNA from 1 species